rnacentral:rRNA from 1 species
AGGGCGCAUGAGUACGUAGUCGUCGACCCGAAACCGGGUGAUCUACCCAUGUCCAGGGUGAAGUUCCGGUAACACGGAAUGGAGGCCCGAACCUUUUGGUGUUGAAAAACCAUAGGAUGAGGUGUGGGUAGGGGUGAAAUGCCAAUCGAACUCGGAGAUAGCUGGUUCUCCCCGAAAUAGCUUUAGGGCUAGCCUCGGAGCAGGAGUGAUGGAGGUAGAGCACUGAUUGGGCUAGGGGCCCUCACCGGGUUACCGAACUCAGUUAAACUCCGAAUGCCAUCCACUUUUCCUCCGGGAGUCAGACUGCGAGUGCUAAGAUCCGUAGUCAAAAGGGAAACAGCCCAGACCACCAGCUAAGGUCCCCAAGUAACCGCUAAGUGGGAAAGGAUGUGGAGUUGCCCAGACAACCAGGAUGUUGGCUUAGAAGCAGCCAUCAUUCAAAGAGUGCGUAAUAGCUCACUGGUCAAGUGACUCUGCGCCGAAAAUGUAACGGGGCUAAGCGGUUCACCGAAGCUGUGGAUGUUGCCGAAGGCAACAUGGUAGGGGAGCGUUCCAAGCGGCGUCGAAGCCGCAUCGUGAGAUGCGGUGGAGUGCUUGGAAGUGAGAAUGCCGGUAUGAGUAGCGAAAAGAGGGGUGAGAAUCCCCUCCGCCGUAAGCCUAAGGGUUCCUGAGGAAGGUUCGUCCGCUCAGGGUAAGUCGGGACCUAAGCCGAGGCCGAAAGGCGUAGGCGAUGGACAACAGGUUGAAAUUCCUGUACCACCUGAUUCCGUUUGUACGAUGGGGGGACGCAGGAGGGUAGAGAAUCGCGCGACUGGAUGUGCGCGUCCAAGCGGUGAGGCUGAAAGGACAGGCAAAUCCGUCCUUUCUUUAAGGCCAGGCCGUGAUGGCGAGGGAAAUUUAAAGUACCGAAGUUCUUGAUCUCACACUGCCAAGAAAAGCCUCUAGGAGGAAGCAGGUGCCCGUACCGCAAACCGACACAGGUAGGCGAGGAGAGAAUCCUAAGGCGCUCGGGAAAACUCUCGUUAAGGAACUCGGCAAAAUGACCCCGUAACUUCGGGAGAAGGGGUGCCCCGGUAGGGUGAA